AUGUUUUACGAUGAUGAAAAUAUUCUUAUUUAAUAAUCUUUUCACAAGAUACGUUGAUAUAUUUAAAAUUCUAUAUCUUUUAUGUUUUAAACAGAGCCAGAGAGUUUUAGAAUCAGAUCCAAUUUAAUCUUCCCAAUAAAAAAUGGCAUGAAGAAAAGGAUAAAAUUUUAUGAAUGUUUUGAAAUGCUAAUAUGGAAUAUUAUGCUGGAUAGAAUUGACGGAUGAGAAUCAUAAUAGCAUUAUUUAAUAGAAUGUAAGAAAAGGAAGAUGUCUUAAUAUGUUAAAGAAGUGGAAAAUUUAAGAAAGAUUUACAGAGAAAUAGCUUGACAAAUUUCAUUUUAACAGAAUGUCUCAAUGUCGGAUUUCUCUUUGAAAUUUUUACUAUUCUCUGUUAAAUAGAGGUAAUCAAUUUUGUGGAAUAGUCCAGGAUACUUAAAGAAACACAUUCUUGAAAACUAGAAAAAUUGAAUGUUCUAACAUUAAUAAAAAAACAUAAACCAAAUUGUAUAUACAGAUCAGAUACAAUACAAUAAUUUAAUUUUUUCAGAAAUAUAUUUUAUUAUAAAACAUUAAAGGCUCAAUCACAAUACUUUCAAAGCAAUGAUUGUCAAAUAAAGAAAAUAAAAUAUUAUCAGUACUUUUAAUUUUACUAUUAAAAGAUUCUAUGUUUUUUAACAGAUUUUAAUUUUUUUUAGUAAUUUUAAUUAACUAAACGUACAUAUAUGCAUCUAAAUAGAAAAAUUAAGAAAUUAUGAAAUUUCAAAAAAAAGGAAAAAAGAAAAAUCGAUACAGUUCGUGAUUCGAAAGGGUAAAAAGUAUUGUGUUAAGGAUACCGACGAAAAGAAGGAAGUUGCAACAAAGGGAAACUCGCACCACUGUCGCUUUCAACGAAGAAAUAUCCACAUGGCAACGUCCCUCUACGUCGGGUAAAGAGUUCGAGAAGUCAACUGGCGAAUCGUGCUUCACCGAGGUGAAAGGUGAAAGUCGAUUAAUGCUUUUGCACAGUAUGCACAAAGCAACACUGCUAUUUCUUUUCCCUCUCUUUUGAUCAAUGGAAACGAUUUUCAAGAUUUUUCUAUCCCCAAUUUGGAUUUAUUAUUUGUCCAUGAACAUAAGAUAUCUUUUGAUGUCAAUGUAAUAUAAACGAUUAUAAACAAACAUUUUUUCAUUUCUCUAUUUUUUAGGAAAUAAAUUCAAUUAAUAUUCUGAAUAAAAAUGCUGAUUACAGAAUGUGAUAUUGUGAAUUGCAAAAAUUCAGAUUGUUAUAUUCAUAAAAAUUCUAGUAGAAGAAAGAAAAGUUUGAAAAGAUUGUUAUUAAUGUAUUUGUGGGAUAUAUUUUCUUAAAACUGCAUAAAUAAAUUAUAUUGAAGUAUCGUUUUUAUUUUUAAAUUAAAUCAAAUUGAUGUAUGAAGUUAUAACGUUUCAU